UUGAAAUAUAUAUAAAGUCUAGCCUGCCCACUGAAAUUUUUAAAUGGCCGCAGUAUUUUGACUGUGCAAAGGUAGCAUAAUCAUUAGUUUUUUAAUUAAAAGCUUGUAUGAAAGGUUGGACGAAGUAAAAUCUGUCUCUAUUUAAUUUAAAUUAGAAUUUAAUUUUUAAGUUAAAAAGCUUAAAUUUUUNUAAAAGACGAGAAGACCCUAUAGAACUUUAUAAUUUAUUUANUAUAAUUAAUUAAGAUUUNUUUAAGUUUUAUUAUAUAUAAUUAUUUUAUUGGGGUAAUAGAAAGAUUAAAAAAAUUCUUUUUUUUUNUUNACAUUUAUUUAUGNUAAUAUAUUAAUGAUCCAUUUUUAAUGAUUAUAAGAUUAAGUUACCUUAGGGAUAACAGCGUAAUUUUUUUAAAGAGUUCAUAUCGAUAAAAAAGUUUGCGACCUCGAUGUUGGAUUAAAGAUUAGUUUAGGUGUAGAAGUUUAAAUUUUUGGUCUGUUCGACCAUUAAAUCUUUACAUGAUCUGAGUUCAGACCGGUGUAAGCCAGGUCGGUUUCUAUCUUUAUUAAAAUUAAAUAUUUUAGUACGAAAGGACCAAAUAUUUGAUAUAUUAAUAUUUAUUUUUUGAAUAUUAUUAAUUAUUUUGGCAGAUUAGUGCAAUGAAUUUAGAAUUCAUAUAUGUAAUUAUUUUUACAAGUA
rnacentral:rRNA from 1 species